GUUUUUGCGUUAGCUACGGCGAGUGAAGCGGCAAAAGCUCAAAUUUGAAAUCUGGUACCUUCGGUGCCCGAGUUGUAAUUUGGAGAGGGCAACUUUGGGGCCGUUCCUUGUCUAUGUUCCUUGGAACAGGACGUCAUAGAGGGUGAGAAUCCCGUGUGGCGAGGAGUGCGGUUCUUUGUAAAGUGCCUUCGAAGAGUCGAGUUGUUUGGGAAUGCAGCUCUAAGUGGGUGGUAAAUUCCAUCUAAAGCUAAAUAUUGGCGAGAGACCGAUAGCGAACAAGUACAGUGAUGGAAAGAUGAAAAGAACUUUGAAAAGAGAGUGAAAAAGUACGUGAAAUUGUUGAAAGGGAAGGGCAUUUGAUCAGACAUGGUGUUUUGUGCCCUCUGCUCCUUGUGGGUAGGGGAAUCUCGCAUUUCACUGGGCCAGCAUCAGUUUUGGUGGCAGGAUAAAUCCAUAGGAAUGUAGCUUGCCUCGGUAAGUAUUAUAGCCUGUGGGAAUACUGCCAGCUGGGACUGAGGACUGCGACGUAAGUCAAGGAUGCUGGCAUAAUGGUUAUAUGCCGCCCGUCUUGAAACACGGACCAAUG
rnacentral:rRNA from 1 species